GGAACGAGAGAGAGGAAGCUUGCUUCCCCAAGCGAGCGGCGAACGGGAGAGAAACGCGAGAGGAACCCGCCACAAAGAGGGGGACAACAGGAGGAAACGACUGCUAAUACCGCAUAAGCCCACAGCUCGGCAUCGAGCAGAGGGAAAAGGAGCAAUCCGCUUUGAGAUGGCCUCGCGUCCGAUUAGCUAGUUGGUGAGGUAAUGGCCCACCAAGGCGACGAUCGGUAGCCGGACUGAGAGGUUGAACGGCCACAUUGGGACUGAGACACGGCCCAGACUCCUACGGGAGGCAGCAGUGGGGAAUAUUGCACAAUGGGGGAAACCCUGAUGCAGCGACGCCGCGUGGAGGAAGAAGGUCUUCGGAUUGUAAACUCCUGUUGUUGAGGAAGAUAAUGACGGUACUCAACAAGGAAGUGACGGCUAACUACGUGCCAGCAGCCGCGGUAAAACGUAGGUCACAAGCGUUGUCCGGAAUUACUGGGUGUAAAGGGAGCGCAGGCGGGAAGACAAGUUGGAAGUGAAAUCUAUGGGCUCAACCCAUAAACUGCUUUCAAAACUGUUUUUCUUGAGUAGUGCAGAGGUAGGCGGAAUUCCCGGUGUAGCGGUGGAAUGCGUAGAUAUCGGGAGGAACACCAGUGGCGAAGGCGGCCUACUGGGCACUAACUGACGCUGAGGCUCGAAAGUGUGGGUAGCAAACAGGAUCACAUACCCUGGUAGUCCACACCGUAAACG
rnacentral:rRNA from 1 species